rfam:Rattus norvegicus chromosome 10, whole genome shotgun sequence.
GGGGAUUUAGCUCAGUGGUAGAGCGCUUGCCUAGCAAGCACAAGACCUGGGUUCGGUCCCCAGCUCCG